UUUUGACUAGUUUAAGAAAAAUACUAGCUUGUCAAGUUGGAGUUUAAGGGCAGAUGCUUAGUCGAGUU
rnacentral:tRNA from 1 species